UAUUUGGCAGCAGCCGCAGCCGUGAACUACAUAUACCAUCAUGCCUUGCGCGCUUACGUUUGCUGAAAGCAGCAUGUGCUUCGCUGCUCCGCUCCAACUAUGGCUCAGUGAGGCUGCGGCUCUUCUCAGGAUGGUGUCGUAUCGGCAGAGGCGCUCUUUGGAGCUACAGCAGAGACUAUCAUCGCACUGGACCAGAGGGAGGAACCGGCAUCUUUUUGUUCCUUACUGGAAAUAUUCAUAAUCUGCUUGAUUUGCCAAACCCAGUUUUUGGCACGGAUUCUUUUAAUUUACAAAGAGGAUUAAAUUGUAACGUUACAACGCGGACACACGUGGAUUGAUACUAUCAUUUUGCUUUAACCUGAUCAUGAGGGCAACAGCCGAGGGACUUAAAACUGUAGCUAUGGCUCGUCCUGUAGGUAUCAGGGAAAACUGUCCUGUCCGGGAUGAGUGGCGUCUGUUACUGCCACAGUCCUCCUGCUGGACAAGUCGGUCGACUCUCCUGGGAUAACUUGGGAUACACGCGUUGUCAACACUGUCAGAGGUGGUCAGUGUCAUAUGCUUUUGGAAAUGUAUUCUUUUGGAUUUUGGCACAAGGAAAAGGAUACCCUGGAAUAAAUUUUGGAAGCUGUGCUCCGUAGAUGUCCAGUGAUUUGGAUAAUAUGAAUACGCAUCUCCUGACCCAGCAGGCACACCGAAGGAACAUAGAAGAUCACAGAAAGGUGAAAGGAAAGGAUUCGUGGAGGACAGGUUUUUUUUCCCCUCGCACGUCCUUGACCCCCUCCCAGUGCGCAAACUGGAGAACAAACAGUAAAACACAUAGUGCAGUACAGGGGCAUUUCUGUCAGCCCAGAUACAGACAGACAGCACUCUAUUCAGUCUGAAGCUUCAUACACCACCUACCUCACAACAAGGACCCUAUGGAUCUGCAGGACAGAUGCUAAAAAAUGUCUACAACUCUAAUAGUAAGAAAGGAUUAUAUGCAGUUGAGGAGGUCACUGUUUGGAUUUACAGUGCAGAAGUUUAUUCUGUAGCACAAAAUUGACUUGACUGCAGGAAGGGUGCGAGAUCAUUUUCAGUUUGUGUCUGGUGCAUAUGCAUUUGAAACAGACAGGUGUCUGGAGUGGACUUUUAGGUGCAUUCUUUACCUGCCUUGCAUGCACAAAAAACAAAAAAAGUAAAAAUCAGAUUGGUCUAGGUUUUGCAAUACUUUAAAUUCCAGCUAUUUCUCCUGUUUUCUUUCAAAGUGAUUUCACUUGUUCUGUUCUUGCUCCUGUUUGAGGGGAAAAUUCCUCCCUUUGUCUUUCACAAAUGUCACAUUCCAUUCCACCGAACCUGUGACCAUGUUGGACCUUCACUUUGCUGGGUGUGGAUCGCCAUGGCAGCCUCACUGUGUUUCAGCCAGUCACACCUACAUAAUGGGGAGGAUAAAGAAGACAUUUUCAGUGUGAAGAGAAGCGUGAAAUUUUCAAUGUGACCUCCCUGGGACACUGCAGACCACCAGGCUCCUCAGACGACUGUUUAUGUGUGCGCUAAAUCCUGCGCUUGUGUAGCAGAUCCGUGUGAUUCUGACAGUUUUUAGUGCAUGUCUGUUUUUAUUUGGUUUGUUUGAAGGAGAUUGAAUGAGACAGAGUCACAAUCCUUUCCACAUAAAGAGUGCAAUUAAGGUUGAUAGCUGAAUACCUCUGGGUGUCCUGACAUUUAGAAAGUACACACAUAUUAUCCUGCCACAUGAAUGCUGCAGGCUGGAUAAUUGGGAGGCAGAUGUUUAUACAUUUAAUGUUCUCCAACUGGCCUGUGUUACUAUACUGUCAAACAGUGAGCUUCUGACAGGCACGCUGUGGAAAGGGAAGAAGUGGACACAGCUCCAAAGUGCUGUAAUAAUAGUCAAAAGGACUGUAAUCUGUCUGGAAAUGUCAUCACAGGGUAUCACUGAUCUAACAAGCUGUGGAAAGGAAGCAGACUUUCAUGGUUCUCAGUGAGCUGCUGAUAAUUGGGUUGCA
ensembl:lncRNA